rnacentral:rRNA from 1 species
UAACUGCGAGUGAAGCGGGAAAAGCUCAAAUUUGAAAUCUGGCGGUCUCUGGCCGUCCGAGUUGUAAUCUAGAGAAGUAAUGCCCGCGCUGGACCGUGUACAAGUCUCCUGGAAUGGAGCGUCAUAGAGGGUGAGAAUCCCGUCUCUGACACGGACUACCAGGGCUUUGUGGUAUGCUCUCAAAGAGUCGAGUUGUUUGGGAAUGCAGCUCUAAAUGGGUGGUAAAUUCCAUCUAAAGCUAAAUAUUGGCGAGAGACCGAUAGCGAACAAGUACCGUGAGGGAAAGAUGAAAAGAACUUUGGAAAGAGAGUUAAACAGUACGUGAAAUUGCUGAAAGGGAAACGCUUGAAGUCAGUCGCGUCGUCCAGGGAUCAGCCUCGCUCUUGCGUGGUGUACUUCCUGGUUGACGGGUCAGCAUCAAUUUUGACCGCUGGAAAAAGGCCUGGGGAAUGUGGCAGCUUCGGCUGUGUUAUAGCCCCUGGUCACAUACGGCGGUUGGGAUUGAGGAACUCAGCACGCCGCAAGGCCGGGUUUCGACCACGUUCGUGCUUAGGAUGCUGGCAUAAUGGCUUUAAGCGACCCGUCUUGAAACACGGACCAAGGAGUCUAACAUGCCUGCGAGUGUUUGGGUGGAAAACCCGAGCGCGUAAUGAAAGUGAAAGUUGAGAUCCCUGUCGUGGGGAGCAUCGACGCCCGGACCAGAACUUUUGGGACGGAUCCGCGGUAGAGCAUGUAUGUUGGGACCCGAAAGAUGGUGAACUAUGCCUGAAUAGGGUGAAGCCAGAGGAAACUCUGGUGGAGGCUCGUAGCGAUUCUGACGUGCAAAUCGAUCGUCAAAUUUGGGUA